ACGAACGCUGGCGGCGUGCCUAAUACAUGCAAGUAGAACGCUGAAGAGAGGAGCUUGCUCUUCUUGGAUGAGUUGCGAACGGGUGAGUAACGCGUAGGUAACCUGCCUGGUAGCGGGGGAUAACUACUGGAAACGAUAGCUAAUACCGCAUAAAAUUGAUUAUUGCCUGAUACUUAAUUGAAAGAUGCAACUGCAUCACUACCAGAUGGACCUGCGUUGUAUUAGCUAGUUGGUGAGGUAACGGCUCACCAAGGCGACGAUACAUAGCCGACCUGAGAGGGUGAUCGGCCACACUGGGACUGAGACACGGCCCAGAAUCCUACGGGAGGCAGCAGUAGGGAAUCUUCGGCAAUGGGGGGAACCCUGACCGAGCAACGCCGCGUGAGUGAAGAAGGUUUUCGGAUCGUAAAGCUCUGUUGUAAGAGAAGAACGGGUGUGAGAGUGGAAAGUUCACACUGUGACGGUAUCUUACCAGAAAGGGACGGCUAACUACGUG
rnacentral:rRNA from 1 species